UACGUAGGGGGCAAGCGUUGUCCGGAUUUAUUGGGCGUAAAGAGCUCGUAGGCGGCUUGUCGCGUCGACCGUGAAACCUCACAGCUCAACUGUGAGCCUGCGGUCGAUACGGGGCAGGCUAGAGUUCGGGUAGGGGGAGACUGGAAUUCCUGGUGUAGCGGUGAAAUGCGCAGAUAUCAGGAGGAACACCGGUGGCGAAGGCGGGGUCUCUGGGGCAACAACUGACGCUGAGGAGCGAAAAGCGUGGGGGGAGCGAACAGG
rnacentral:rRNA from 1 species